rnacentral:rRNA from 1 species
CGUAGGGUGCAAGCGUUAAUCGGAAUUACUGGGCGUAAAGCGUGCGCAGGCGGUUUGUAAGUCUGAUGUGAAAUCCCCCGGGCUCAACCUGGGAAUUGCAUUGGAGACUGCAAGGCUAGAAUCUGGCAGAGGGGGGUAGAAUUCCACGUGUAGCAGUGAAAUGCGUAGAUAUGUGGAGGAACACCGAUGGCGAAGGCAGCCCCCUGGGUCAAGAUUGACGCUCAUGCACGAAAGCGUGGGGAGCAAACAGGAUUAGAUACCCUGGUAGUCCACGCCCUAAACGAUGUCUACUAGUUGUCGGGUCUUAAUUGACUUGGUAACGCAGCUAACGCGUGAAGUAGACCGCCUGGGGAGUACGGUCGCAAGAUUA